GGGCUAUUUAGCUAAAGAAUCCACACAGGGCACGUGGAAUGAGUAGGCUGUCCUUGUAAAUAAUAAUUUGUUCUUAACUGACUUGCCUAGUUAAAUAAAGGUUACACUAAGAGCAUAACAUUUCUGCACCCUACUUUUCUAAUUCUUGUCUAACCAAUACCCAAAUGGAGAUUAAGUGAAAAUAAAAAUCUCAUUGAUUUAUCAAGACCAGUCCCCAUGCUUCCCUCAGAGCAGCACGAAACGGUGCUAAAUUAGUUGUAGGCUUUUGCUUCUAACUUUUAUAUGCUCAUUAAAUAAAUAAGACCUACACCAUUUUUAACAGCACAUUACUCAACACCAGUGAGACUCAUUUCGCCCAUCAAUGACUUGACUCUCCGCCAAUAAUUACAUUUAGAGGAUUGGAGGACUCAAAAUUAAUAUCUAACGGGCGUUUUUCGUUAGGAUCUGUGAGAUUAUCUGAGAAUAUCUAAGGGGCUUUUAUAUAAUUCGAAAUGAAUUAAUAAUAAUAAUCGCUUUGUUUAAAAAGUAAAAAUAAAAAAGAUAUUUUCAUUUAACCUAGAGUGAGUGAGAAAAAAGGCAACUCUUGAACAUUGGGUGAGACAUUCUCACUAAUUUGUAAAUAAAGCCAGUUUGUUAUUUAGAAAGGUUUCUCCAGAAAUAAAUCAAACUAGAUUAUUUAGCAGACAUCACUUGCAUAUAUUUAUGAGGAUGAUGAGCGAUCGGCAAAGGCAAUCUUUAAUCUGCCUGCAUCACGGGAUGAAAUUGCUACACAAAAAAGGAAGAAGAUCAAGCAAGCCGAGUCCCAAGCAUCCGCUCAAACUCCAUAUGUGGGGGGCAAUUUCUCGCCAGGGACCAGGCCCGUAUUUGAUUUUUGAUGGUAAGUUUGGCUAUUUACAAAGCAAAAGGUACAUAAAAUAUUGCAGCCUACACCUCAGGGGCUGUUAUGGUUACCACAAUAAUUCACUCUUGCCUCCUUUUUCAGGUAUCAUGGCUCGAGAUUCCUUUUGAGGAAAAAUAAUCAAGAGAUAUGCUGGACCCUAUGUCAGACAGGUGUUUCUGGGUACACAUCGUUUGUCAAGACAAUGAUCCAAAACACACUGUCGCCCGGGAUUGCAAUGCAAAUGAGGGCAUAGACUGAGUCAAGACGCCAGCAGAGUCUCCUGAUUUUAAACCUGAUCGAACUUGCUCGGCUCCAACUGAAAACAUUAAUCUGUAACUCUGCCAAGCCGACAUGCAAAGAUGAACUGGUCAAGGCCAUCGAGAUGUUUUGGCUAGAGAAAUUGACGAUACAACAAUGCAACAAAUACAUUGAUCAUCUCAGCAAGGCUUUACCUGUGGUUGUGGAGCUGGGUGGAUGUGUGACUAAAAUGUAGUUAAUAUAAACAUCCGCAUGUCUUUUUUUUCUCAUUUUAUUAACGAAAGCAUAAAGAUGUUGAUGAAGAAAUACUGUACUGCUGUUUUUAGUUAGAAAUGUAACACUUUAGAGUACUUGCAUCGAAUACAUUGCAAGGUGAGGGAUUUUUACAACAGUAGCCGGGUUAUUAAACGUCUAUUGUCCUGCUAAUAGGAAACAUUUGAAUGAUGGGCUACACCUGCUACAGUUGUGAUGUCUUCACUAUUCUACAAUGUAGAAAAUAAUAAAAAUAUAGAAAAAUCCUG